rnacentral:Y_RNA from 2 species
GGCUGGUCCAAGUGCAGCGGUGUUUACAGCUAAUUGAUCACAAUCAGUUACAGAUUUCUUUGUUCCUUCUCUAUUCCCACUGCUUCACUUGACUAGCUUAAA